CUGUUGCCUUUGAGCCCCCACCUUGCCUGGCCAUGGCAGGCUACAGUGCCAGAGCACAUGUGCUCGGGCAUAACUGGGGUCGUCAGCCCCCUCAGAGGCGGCCCUUUUUUAACCUCGAGUGACAGGG
ensembl:snoRNA